rnacentral:rRNA from 1 species
UACGUAGGAGGCGAGCGUUGUCCGGAUUCAUUGGGCGUAAAGAGCACGCAGGCGGUUUGGCAAGUCGGAUGUGAAAGCCCGGAGCUCAACUCCGGACCUGCAUCCGAAACUGCCCGACUAGAGGUAGGUAGGGGAGAUCGGAAUUCCUGGUGUAGCGGUGAAAUGCGCAGAUAUCAGGAGGAACACCCAUUGCGAAGGCAGCUCGCUGGGACGUUACUGACGCUGAGACGCGAAAGCGUGGGGGAGCAAACAGG